rnacentral:rRNA from 1 species
CAGUCGCCGCGGGAAUACGUAGGGUGCGAGCGUUAAUCGGAAUUACUGGGCGUAAAGCGUGCGCAGGCGGUUUUGUAAGACAGAUGUGAAAUCCCCGGGCUCAACCUGGGACCUGCAUUUGUGACUGUAUAGCUAGAGUACGGUAGAGGGGGAUGGAAUUCCGCGUGUAGCAGUGAAAUGCGUAGAUAUGCGGAGGAACACCGAUGGCGAAGGCAAUCCCCUGGACCUGUACUGACGCUCAUGCACGAAAGCGUGGGGAGCAAACAGGAUUAGAUACCCCUGUAGUCCCUGUCUCUUAUAC